AGAGUUUGAUCCUGGCUCAGGAUGAACGCUAGCGGCAGGCUUAACACAUGCAAGUCGAGGGGCAGCAUGGAGCAGCAAUGCUCUGACGGCGACCGGCGGAAGGGUGCGUAACACGUGAGCGACUUGCCCGUCACAGGGGGAUAACCGGCGGAAACGGCGACUAAUACCCCAUAUGAUGUGAUGCUGCAUGGCAUUGCAUUGAAAGAUUCAUCGGUGGCGGAUAGGCUCGCGGGACAUUAGCUAGACGGCGGGGCAACGGCCCACCGUGGCGACGAUGUCUAGGGGUUCUGAGAGGAAGACCCCCCACACUGGGACUGAGACACGGCCCAGACUCCUACGGGAGGCAGCAGUGAGGAAUAUUGGUCAAUGGGCGGAAGCCUGAACCAGCCAUGCCGCGUGCGGGAAGGAGGCCCUAUGGGCUGUGAACCGCUUUUGCCUGGGGGCAAUAAGGGCGUCGCGCACGUCCGAUGAGAGUACCAGGCGAAUAAGCAUCGGCUAACUCCGUGCCAGCAGCCGCGGUAAUACGGGGGAUGCGAGCGUUAUCCGGAUUCAUUGGGUUUAAAGGGUGCGUAGGCUGUGCGUCAAGUCGGGGGUGAAAUUCCGGUGCUCAACACCGGGGCUGCCCUUGAUACUGUCGCGCUGGAGUGCGGAUGCCGCCGGAGGAAUGAGUGGUGUAGCGGUGAAAUGCUUAGAUAUCACUCAGAACACCGAUUGCGAAGGCAUCUGGCGAAUCCGUAACUGACGCUGAGGCACGAAAGCGUGGGGAUCGAACAGGAUUAGAUACCCUGGUAUUCCACGCCGUAAACGAUGAUGGCUAACCGCCGGCGACACACUGUCGGUGGCCAAGCGAAAGCGAUAAGCCAUCCACCUGGGGAGUACGUCGGCAACGAUGAAACUCAAAGGAAUUGACGGGGGCCCGCACAAGCGGAGGAACAUGUGGUUUAAUUCGAUGAUACGCGAGGAACCUUACCCGGGCUUGAACUGCAGGCGAACGAUUCAGAGAUGAUGAGGCCCUUCGGGGCGCCUGUGGAGGUGCUGCAUGGUUGUCGUCAGCUCGUGCCGUGAGGUGUCGGCUUAAGUGCCAUAACGAGCGCAACCCCUGUUCUCAGUUGCCAUCGGGU
rnacentral:rRNA from 1 species